rnacentral:lncRNA from 1 species
AUAAAACAAUAUUGUCAUUCAUUUAAAACAAUCAACAUCUUUCACAUGCAUAUGUCAUCACAAGGACUUUUUCCAAGGCUUGUAUUGUGGCUGGGCUAACAAGAAAAUUGGUUUUUCUGGAAUACAAAAUCCUUGAGUUAAGAGAGUUUAAAUCAUUAUUCAAAGUUCAAGCACACUCUAUUUUUAACCAAUCUCACUCAUUCCCAACUUUUCCCUUUUACAUUGAGUUCUUUUUAACAUGCAUAAACUCUUUUCUUCUUUUCUUUUCUUUUUCACAUGCAUUUUUCUUUCUCAUCUUUUGAACUCAAUGCUUUUCUUUUUCUUUUCUUUUGCCUUUCACUUUCCCCAUUCCACCCCAAACUUGAACCUUUUCAAUACAUAUAAUU